rnacentral:tRNA from 1 species
UCCUUGGUGAAUCAGAUGGUAAAGAAUCUGCCUGAAAUGCAGGAGACCUGGGUUCGAUUCCUAGGCCGGGAA